GUCGUCGUGGCCGAGUGGUUAAGGCGACAGACUUGAAAUCUGUUGGGCUCUGCCCGCACAGGAUUCGAAUGCAUGUCGGCGACG
rfam:Ciona savignyi cont_23069, whole genome shotgun sequence.